rnacentral:rRNA from 1 species
UACCAGCACCCCGAGUGGUCGGGACGAUUAUUGGGCCUAAAGCAUCCGUAGCCGGUCCUGCAAGUCUUCCGUUAAAUCCAGCUGCUCAACAGAUGGGCUGCGGGGGAUACUACAGGGCUAGGAGGCGGGAGAGGCAAGCGGUACUUUAUGGGUAGGGGUAAAAUCCGUUGAUCCAUAGAAGACCACCAGUGGCGAAGGCGGCUUGCCAGACGCGCUCGACGGUGAGGAUGAAAGCUGGGGGAGCAAACCGG